UACAGAGAAGCCUGUACAGACAGUUUUUACUAGACUAAUGUCUCAUUUUUAUUCCAGACACUCUGGAUUACCACCUACAGUGUAAGAUGCUCCCUGGGAAUGCUUGUUAAAAGGAAGAAGUACUUCUGUCUGCAUCUGGUGAAGUCAGCCCCAAAGUAGAUGAAAUACUAAACAGCACCAGCCAGAGAUUAUGCAUCCUGAUGCUCAUAGUGUCCUGACUACUAUUGGAAAAUGGUUGUCCAUGUAUUUUUGUUAAUGAAUUGACCAGAUGGAGAAAAAAAUAGAGAGUAUAAUAUGCAGAAAUCCCUAUUAAAAAAGGUACUUAGACUGUUUUCCCUAUGCUAUAUCAGAUCAUUUUGUAAAUAGUAUAGGUGUCAGCUACUGCUCAAGAAAAAGUAUGAAGGUCAUACUAUUCAGCUUUGUUUGUAAUAUAGAUUUUUUUUUUGGCAAAUUAUUUUCAUGGCAGUCUGUAAGCAAGCAGUGUAUCAGAUUUGUUGGGUACUUUUGCUCAGAAAAUGUAGAAUGUGUUGGCAUUCAACAUACUAUGUAUUAUCAAGACUUUCUUGUAAUGGAAAGAAAUAUUAUAGGACAAGCAAAGUCAAAUUCUGUAUUAUACUCUACUUACUUGGAAAGACAGAUGCAUUUUUUUGGGGGGGGUUGGGAGGGGUGGGGAGUGCUGAGAAAAUUUACUGUCUUUAUCUGACCAGGUUUGUCGUGGCAUUUGGACUUGUGUUGAGCUGAAAUAAUUUUGUGUAGUACAGGGACUCCUACCUUAGCAAAUGUGAAAACAAGUGUGUGAUGUUUACUGACUUCUCUUUCCUGGCAGUAAUUAACCAUAUGUUUGAAACAGAGCUUCCUCAUUCUCUAAACAUCUUUCUGCUUAACCUAACAGCUGGGGCACAUGUGAGGUAUCUUUCCAUCCCACUGAGGUGCCUCACUGACUUCAGAGAGAGAUCUAAGAUGUGAGAAUGUAAAACCAUACCUCACCUAUUUUAAAAGCCCAUACAUCCCAAAACAGGAAAAAAAAAAAAAAAAAUAGCUUUCAUACAUGUAUUUCAUGACAGUCCAAUCAGAAGUAAAACAGAAAUGUUGCUAAGAGAAAUGGUAGGCUAUGCACCAUCAAACCUGUGGCAUACAUGAUCUGACUUUGUGUUCAUUAUUAUGUCAAACAUGACUGAUUCCAGACAAAAUCUGGGAUCUUUUAAGUAUAUUGUUCUUCAGCCUCAUAGAAGGAUUAUCCUGUUGAAUGAAGUAUGGUUGUUUAUUCCAUUUUAAGCACAAAUGUUGUUUAAUGGAUUGAAAUGCAUGUAUGUCUUAAAAAAUUGGGCUGCAACUGCAUGGGCUUUUGACCUGCAUAGAAGUGCAUUUUGCAUUUUGAAGUGAA